rnacentral:rRNA from 1 species
UCAUACGCUCGUCUCAAAGAUUAAGCCAUGCAUGUGUAAGUAUAAAUAUUUAACUUUGAAACUGCGAAUGGCUCAUUAUAUCAGUUAUAGUUUAUUUGAUGAAAAGUACUACUUGGAUAACCGUAGUAAUUCUAGAGCUAAUACAUGAUAAAAUCCUCGACUUUGAAGAGGUGUAUUUAUUAGAAUGAAACCAAUAGACUUCGGUCUGUUUGUGAGUAAUAAUAACUAAUCGUAUCGCAUGCUUAGGUAGCGAUAUGUCUUUCAAGUUUCUGCCCUAUCAGCUUUGGAUGGUAGUGUAUUGGACUACCAUGGCAGUAACGGGUAACGAAGAAUUUGGGUUCGAUUUCGGAGAGGGAGCCUGAGAGAUGGCUACCACAUCCAAGGAAGGCAGCAGGCGCGUAAAUUACCCAAUCCUGACAUAGGGAGGUAGUGACAAUAAAUCACAAUGCGGAACUAUUAGUUUUGCAAUUGGAUUGAGAACAAUGUACAAAUGUUAUCGAUAAACAAUUGGAGGGCAAGUCUGGUGCCAGCAGCCGCGGUAAUUCCAGCUCCAAUAGCGUAUAUUAACG